GCUGGGGCAGCUCAGUCAGUAGAUCAUGAGGGUUUUAAUCUCAGGGUUGUGGGUUCAAGCCCCACAUUGGGCA